rnacentral:rRNA from 1 species
ACUCAAAUGAAUAGACGGGGGCCCGCACAAGCAGUGGAGUAUGUGGUUUAAUUCGAAGCAACGCGAAGAACCUUACCAGGGCUUGACAUGGAAACGAUCGCCGUAGAGAUACGGCUUUCUUCGGACGUUUCACACAGGUGGUGCAUGGUUGUCGUCAGCUCGUGUCGUGAGAUGUUGGGUUAAGUCCCGCAACGAGCGCAACCCUUAUUGUCAGUUGCUAACAUUUAGUUGAGAACUCUGGCAAGACUGCCGGUGACAAAUCGGAGGAAGGUGGGGACGACGUCAAAUCAUCAUGCCCCUUAUGUCCUGGGCUACACACGUACUACAAUGGCCGUUAACAACAGGAAGCGAAGCCGCGAGGCGGAGCAAAUCCCCAAAAACGGUCUCAGUUCAGAUUGCAGGCUGCAACUCGCCUGCAUGAAGUCGGAAUUGCUAGUAAUCGCGAAUCAGCAUGUCGCGGUGAAUACGUUCCCGGGCCUUGCACACACCGCCCGU